rnacentral:piRNA from 1 species
UCCCCCGNUGCUUUAAUCAAUUCUGUGUC